rnacentral:rRNA from 1 species
CCCUUAGAGUUUGAUCCUGGCUCAGAACGAACGUUGGCGGCGUGGAUUAGGCAUGCAAGUCGAACGAAUCCCUUGUAGCAAUAUGAGGGGGAAGUGGCGAAAGGGGCAGUAAGGCAUGGGUAACCUACCUCGGGGACUGGGAUAGCCUUCCUAACGGAAGGGUAAUACCGGGCGAUGUAACGAGGAGGCAUUUCUUUGUUACGAAAUGAAAUUCGCCUCGAGAGGGGCCCAUGUAGUAUUAGCUUGUUGGUGAGGUAACGGCUCACCAAGGCCAAGAUGCUUAGCGGGUGUGAGAGCACGACCCGCGCCACUGGCACUGUGACACUGGCCAGACUCCUACGGGAGGCUGCAGUCGAGAAUCUUCGGCAAUGGGCGCAAGCCUGACCGAGCGACGCCGCGUGUGCGAUGAAGGCCUUCGGGUUGUAAAGCACUGUCGAGGGGGAUAAAGGCGAAAGCUUGAUAGAUCCCUGGAGGAAGCACGGGCUAAGUUCGUGCCAGCAGCCGCGGUAAGACGAACCGUGCGAACGUUGUUCGGAAUCACUGGGCUUAAAGGGUGCGUAGGCGGAAUGUCAAGUCUGUGGUGAAAUCCCCCAGCUCAACCGGGGAACUGCCGUGGAUACUGGUGUUCUCGAGGGGUGUAGGGGCAUGCGGAACUUCGGGUGGAGCGGUGAAAUGCGUAGAUAUCCGAAGGAACGCCGGUGGCGAAAGCGGCGUGCUGGACACCUUUUGACGCUGAGGCACGAAAGCCAGGGGAGCAAACGGGAUAGAUACCCCGGUAGUCCUGGCCUAACGAUGGGUACUAGAUUGUGAUUGACAUGAUUCCAUCGAAGCAAAGUGUUA